GAAGUCGGAAUCGCUAGUAAUCGUGGAUCAGCAUGCCACGGUGAAUACGUUCCCGGGCCUUGUACACACCGCCCGUCACACCAUGGGAGUUGGUUCUACCCGACGACGCUGCGCUAACCUUCGGGAGGCAGGCGGCCACGGUAGGAUCAGCGACUGGGGUGAAGUCGUAACAAGGUAGCCGUAGGGGAACCUGCGGCUGGAUCACCUCCUU
rnacentral:rRNA from 14 species